rnacentral:rRNA from 1 species
AGCGAAGCAGUUAAGUUGAUUUCUUCGGAUUGAUUCUUAACUGACUGAGCGGCGGACGGGUGAGUAACGCGUGGGUGACCUGCCCCAUACCGGGGGAUAACAGCUGGAAACGGCUGCUAAUACCGCAUAAGCGCACAGAGCUGCAUGGCUCGGUGUGAAAAACUCCGGUGGUAUGGGAUGGGCCCGCGUCUGAUUAGGCAGUUGGCGGGGUAACGGCCCACCAAACCGACGAUCAGUAGUCGGCCUGAGAGGGCGACCGGCCACAUUGGGACUGAGACACGGCCCAAACUCCUACGGGAGGCAGCAGUGGGGAAUAUUGCACAAUGGGGGAAACCCUGAUGCAGCGACGCCGCGUGAGCGAAGAAGUAUUUCGGUAUGUAAAGCUCUAUCAGCAGGGAAGAUAAUGACGGUACCUGACUAAGAAGCCCCGGCUAACUACGUGCCAGCAGCCGCGGUAAUACGUAGGGGGCAAGCGUUAUCCGGAUUUACUGGGUGUAAAGGGAGCGUAGACGGCAAGGCAAGUCUGAUGUGAAAACCCAGGGCUUAACCCUGGGACUGCAUUGGAAACUGUCUGGCUCGAGUGCCGGAGAGGUAAGCGGAAUUCCUAGUGUAGCGGUGAAAUGCGUAGAUAU